UCUCUCUCUCUCUCCCUCCCCUCCGACCAUCUUAUCUCUUUCUUCUCCAUGUACGACCCCAAGCUGGUUAGAACUUGGAUGAGUAUCAAACUAUCAAUAAACACUUCCCAAUCAGUUUUCCAGCUCUCUUUCUGCCCUUAGCAACUUGGUUCAUCUAUUAUGAAUAAACUUCUAUUCUUCCCCAGAAUGAAUGAACACUACUAAGAAAUGGUUGCUUCUACUUCUGGUCUAGAGGUUGUCUGAUUGAACGGUCUGGCAUCGGAAUGAUCAGAGGUCGCUGGUCCUGGUCGUCGGAGUUGGGACGGUCGGAGUCCGAAGAAGAAACCGGUGUCGUCCGCGUCGACGCGCUGGUCUGGGUUUUUCCGAUCUCUGAAGCUCCGGCUUGAAGCUUCUGAUGCUUGACGUCGGCAGGUCUGGUUCUGCAAGGUCGAUCGUCUUCGAGGUACUUCGAAUCCGAUCUCUGCCAAUAUCGGGUCUGGGUUGAAUUAAUCUUGAAAGAAAAAGAAAAUAGCAUGUGGGACUGUUUGUUUGAACCUUGUUUCAGUCUUGUUGUGACUGUGAUGCAAACAGAAAAUGACUUCUGGAGAAGAAACCCAGCUUAUGUGCCAGCAGUUACUGCUAGAGUGCUAGGAAGAUAUUGAGGCAUAUCUGAAACAGGGAUUCUAGGAAUUUGCUGCAGGUGGUCAGUAAGUACUAACUACAUUUGCAAGUCACAACGUUAGUUUACCAGAGGGGCUUUGGCAAAUGCUUCUGGAGGUGUAAUUGGCCAAUUCAUUGAGGUCUUGGAUACGUCGAAUUCGCCCAAAUCGACGCCGUCUACGCCGCCCUCAGAUCCAUGGCUGUUGGAUUUCUUCCAAUGCUCUGCAAAUGAGUCUCUAUUCUUUAACCUCGCAGCUAGAAAGAGGAACCCAGCUUGGGCUCGUACAUGGAGAAGAAAGAGAUAAGAUGGUCAGAGGGGAAGGGAGAGAGAGGGAGAGAGACAGAGAGGACCCAAAAAGGGGAAAAAAAAAAAAAAACAAAUAUGACUUUAGGGUAUUUUAGUAAGUGUCAAAAAUUGUGAGAUGAAAUAGUAUUAAAAAAAUAAAAGGGUGUGUCAUUUACAAUUAGGGGUGUGCAAAUUUCACCCCCCAUAACUUAUUGUAUUUUUUUGCUUUUUCUGCUAGAUUAAUAAUUUGUUAAACUAUUCGAUUAACUCGGU